rnacentral:rRNA from 1 species
UACGUAGGGUGCAAGCGUUGUCCGGAAUUAUUGGGCGUAAAGAGCUCGUAGGCGGUCUGUCGCGUCGGCUGUGAAAACCCGGAGCUCAACUCCGGGCCUGCAGUCGAUACGGGCAAACUGGAGUGUUGCAGGGGAGACUGGAAUUCCUGGUGUAGCGGUGAAAUGCGCAGAUAUCAGGAGGAACACCGGUGGCGAAGGCGGGUCUCUGGGCAACAACUGACGCUGAGGAGCGAAAGCGUGGGGAUCAAACAGG